rnacentral:misc_RNA from 1 species
GAUGAAGAACGUAGCGAAAUGCGAUAAGUAAUGUGAAUUGCAGAAUUCAGUGAAUCAUCGAAUCUUUGAACGCACAUUGCGCCCGUCAGUAUUCUGGCGGGCAUGCCUGUUCGAGCGUCAUUACGCCCCUCAAGUCCCCUGUGGACUUGGUGUUGGGGAUCGGCGAGGCUGGUUUUCCAGCACAGCCGUCCCUUAAAUUAAUUGGCGGUCUCGCCGUGGCCCUCCUCUGCGCAGUAGUAAAACACUCGCAACAGGAGCCCGGCGCGGUCCACUGCCGUAAAACCCCCCAACUUUUUAUAGUUGUCCUCGAAUCAGGUAGGACUACCCGCUGAACUUAAGCAUAUCAAUAAGCGGAGGA